UAGGGUCUUGAGGGAGGGGGUCCCGAGAGGGGCUAUAAUCAGGUCAGGGCCCCAGGAGGGCGGGGGAGGGGGGACACUCGGCCUUCAGCUUCGGCCCCUGCGCCCCACCCCCCACAGAAGGAGCGGGGGAGUUGAGGCUGCGGGCACCCUAUGUCCCUCCCCACGCGUGAUGGCGCCCCGCGGGGAGGGAACGCCGCCUGGGGGCAAGAAGCCUCUGCGCUCCAGCCGGUGCCCGCUGCGGCCUUGGCAUUGUCAGAGGGGAGGGGCCGUGUCCUCCAGGAGGAGGGGGAGGUGCGCUCACGCUCCUGCUCUCCGCCUCCAUUCUGCCGGAUCCCUAAGUGGAGAAACUGAGUCUCCACGACCGAGGGACUUCUGGACACGGCUUCGCUCAGAGACCCAGGGCUGGUGAUUGAACCCAGGGCCCUGCGCAGCGAGGCAAGCGCUCCACCACUGGGCUACAUCCCCAGCGCUUGCUCUCUCUUCUGGUACAAACAGCUCCCUCUCUCAGAGGCGGGAACCCCAACUUGAAUUCAAUUCCCACCUAUCCCCCCAACUCUGGACUCUUACCGCGCCAAACCUGAGACCGCCGCAGUAGAGGAACGCUGCCUGGGGGCCCGCCCCCUCCCGUGGAAUCCCGGCGGUCCCACCCCCCAACCCCGGCCCAGGGCCUGGAACUGGGAGCCGGAGGGCAAGUGUGGAGCCUGCCGGGGCCUCCUGAAGACAGGGGAGCGCCUCAGAUCCGCACGUUCAGGUUUCAAUCUUCAGGAGACCAGCUAGACCUUAAUAUUUCAGGCAAAGUAGCAGGAGGUGGGUCAGUACCUAGAGAGUGAGGUUCCUGCCCUGAAAAGGAUGGAAGUCCCAGCUGGGAGGACCUGGGGCCGGGGACAGCGACUUCAGAGUGGUGGCCAGUUGCCUGGACUGGCUGGGCCACGUGCGCAGAAGAGUAGAAGCAGAAAAGUUAGACGCUUGCAGAGCCUGGGGGGAAAGAGGCUUCGGCGGCUGGAGGGGCGAGGCUCUGCCGGGCGGGGUCUAAAGCCAGUGGGUCUGGGGGCCUGUUUCGGAAUGUGAGGGGCUGAGCUGGAGCGGAGAGUCAGCCUGCGCCUGGCGCCCACCUCUUCCCCACUACCCCACCCCCCUUCCCCUGGCUGCCUCCGCUUCCCUCGAAAAACCCGCCGCCCAGGAAACCGCUGGGGGCGCUCAGACCGCAGUCCCCCCACCCACCAUCCCCCAUCUCCCCCACCGCGACCGCCCAACCCACCUGAAGGGGCCGUGGCUGCCAGGGGUACCCCCCUCCCGCCGACUCCCCCCACACCUGCGGGCAGCACUAUUUAUAACUCCGCGCCUAUUCCGGGCCUCUCGGCUGGAGCCGGCUGCCGAGCUGUGCUAAUCGCCGCCGGGAUCUCUGCGCCCCCCAGGGCCAGGGGAGGUAAAUUUAGCUUCAGGAAGCUCCGGGGAACAUUUUCCAAAACUCCACGUCCCAGAGAAGGCGAAACAGAACCCCUCUGCGCUCAGCCUCCCUCCGGCGAGCCACUAGGGGGCGCAGAUCUCCGGGUCCGGAACCCAGCCUGCUAGGAGUUAGGGUCGCUGCUUUGAUCCUGGGGUAGGUAAAGCAUAGAGACGCGUGCGCUCUGGAAAGUUACUGGGUGCCGGACUAGUCAUUGGCAGGAGAUAUGGGUAUGCUCCGAGGCCUCCAAAUCUGCAGUCUGAGAACCACUGAAAAAGGGAGUGGGGACUUAACGUGUGUUGAGAGGGAAAUAACACAUGUAAACGAAAUGCAAAUAAGAGCCUAGGCCCUUGGGGUCUGCGCUACAGGGUGCCAGCAAUGUUUGCCACACUUUUCUUUUUUAUUUUUUUGAUUUCAUUUUUUGGUACCCAGGAUUAAACUCAAGGACAUUCAACCAUC